CAUGUUCAGGAUCGCCCCCCGUCAGCGAGGUUUCGCCCACGGGGGCAAUUUUG
rfam:Rhodobacteraceae bacterium SB2 pfor_3, whole genome shotgun sequence.